rnacentral:rRNA from 1 species
UACGUAGGGUGCAAGCGUUGUCCGGAAUUAUUGGGCGUAAAGAGCUCGUAGGCGGUCUGUCGCGUCUGCUGUGAAAACUCAGGGCUUAACCCUGAGCUUGCAGUGGGUACGGGCAGACUAGAGUGCGGUAGGGGAGACUGGAAUUCCUGGUGUAGCGGUGAAAUGCGUAGAUAUCUGGAGGAACACCGGUGGCGAAGGCGGCAUCCUGGACCGGUAUUGACGCUGAGGCGCGAAAGCCAGGGGAGCAAAGCGGG